rnacentral:lncRNA from 1 species
UCCAAGUUGAAUAUCUUAUUGUUUAAUUAUUUUUAAUCUUUUGGAAAUACAGAGCUGCCCCAGGGUGUUUUCUUUUCUCUGUCCCUCCUACAGAGCAGCCUGCUCUGGGAGCUCAAGUCCUCCUGUGUAUUCCUUGAAGUGGAUCCAAAUUCAUUACAGAUAGACUGUGUCGCGGACGUAGACGAUGAAGCUGCUGAAGAGGGUAGAGGAGGGUGUGUAAAACGGAGAGCAAGCAAGCCACGGUAAGUAGCUAGGGCUAGUUGUCAAACUUGAAAGGUGAUCUUUGACCUUCUCAUGACUCAUAAAGCACUUUAUGACUCCCGCCCCUUGGUCAAGAAUUUUCAAGCUCAACAAAAGAGCUUUUAGCUCAAAUGCCAUUUAACCUAGCUUCACAGGAUGACUUAUUUUAGUUUCUGUGUUGACCAAGGAAAGUCCUUCACUCCGACUACCUAAUAGCCCACCACCUUGGUUGAUCCCAGGUCUGUUUGCCAGGUCAUGCACUUUGUACAGGCAUGGAACAAGCUGACGAUGGAAGCUAAGGUACACAACUGGGAAACAAGUGUUUGGCACCUUUUCCACCUGCAGACAGGGUUAUGAUUGUAUUGAUGUUGAGCAUGGCUUGGAGAUUAUCAGGUCUCACAGAAUCGCAUUAUAAUGAUGGGGAUGGUGCAUGGAGGAGUGACGCUGUCCAAUGCCAUUGCCAAGAGCAGCCAGGGCUCUUCUGGGUCCUCGGCUGCCUGAGGCCAGGGAAGGAAGAUGUACCUGGUAGGACAGCGGCACCCCCAGGAAGCCAAGGUCUUGGUGGCAAAGAACAGUGGGAGGUAAAUGGGAUUGCCAAGAUUGUACCCAGUGCUUCCUGUGAGCUGGAUCUGCUUCAUGGGAUGCUGGGGGUGUGGCCGGGGGCAGAACUAGGGAGAAGCAUGAAGAAAAUCAAGGAAGAGUGGGCCCUGGAAGUAGAGCUGGUUCCUCCAGAAGGAUCCCCCGUGCUGUACAACAGUGCAGUGGACAGGACAUGAAGAGUCAGAAGACUUGGAAGUCUUCCUUCACCCUUUAAAUGGCCUUGGCGGUUGGGGCUACUCGAUGUCACUAAGCCAGU